UCAACCCAUGAACUGCUUUCAAACUGGUUCGUCUUGAGUAGUGCAGAGGUAGGCGGAAUUCCCGGUGUAGCGGUGGAAUGCGUAGAUAUCGGGAGGAACACCAGUGGCGAAGGCGGCCUACUGGGCACCAACUGACGCUGAGGCUCGAAAGUGUGGGUAGCAAACAGGAUUAGAUACCCUGGUAGUCCACACCGUAAACGAUGAUUACUAGGUGUUGGGAGAUUGACCCUCUCAGUGCCGCAGUUAACACAAUAAGUAAUCCACCUGGGGAGUACGACCGCAAGGUUGAAACUCAAAGGAAUUGACGGGGGCCCGCACAAGCAGUGGAGUAUGUGGUUUAAUUCGACGCAACGCGAAGAACCUUACCAAGUCUUGACAUCCCUUGACGAUGCUGGAAACAGUAUUUCUCUUCGGAGCAAGGAGACAGGUGGUGCAUGGUUGUCGUCAGCUCGUGUCGUGAGAUGUUGGGUUAAGUCCCGCAACGAGCGCAACCCUUAUGGUCAGUUACUACGCAAGAGGACUCUGGCCAGACUGCCGUUGACAAAACGGAGGAAGGUGGGGAUGACGUCAAAUCAUCAUGCCCUUUAUGACUUGGGCUACACACGUACUACAAUGGCGUUAAACAAAGAGAAGCAAGACCGCGAGGUGGAGCAAAACUCAGAAACAACGUCCCAGUUCGGACUGCAGGCUGCAACUCGCCUGCACGAAGUCGGAAUUGCUAGUAAUCGUGGAUCAGCAUGCCACGGUGAAUACGUUCCCGGGCCUUGUACACACCGCCCGUCACACCAUGAGAGCCGGGGGGACCCGAAGUCGGUAGUCUAACCGCAAGGAGGACGCCGCCGAAGGUAAAACUGGUGA
rnacentral:rRNA from 1 species